rnacentral:lncRNA from 1 species
AUGAGAUCGUCACAACGCGAACCAGCCAUAGGCAGUAUAGACACAGACACCCCGUCUGAUCCGAUACAGGCAGACACUUUCGGGAGUGUUUUUCUACAGUUGGCCAUGCUACUGAAAACAUGGGAACAUCAAAGGAUGUGUGGAGUGUGUGUAGUGGUCUGGUCCGCAUUGCUGCUGCUGUUACUGGAGGAGAAUGGACUGGGCUAUCAGUUGAAGGAGUCUUAUUGGUCCUAAUGGUCCUUAAUGUGAUGGAUGGCCCCCUUGACGAGGUGGAAAGGUUGGUCGGCCAUCUUCUUUUGGGAUCAAAAGGAGAGUUUUUUUUAGCUAAUCUUCUCCAAUGAGUAUUAGCCAGUACAUAUACAGUUUGUUUGUGGGUCUGAUAACAAAAGGCUUACAGCCCUUCAAAUGGCUAGGAUACAUACUGCGUCGUCUAUUUCCUGUCAACAUUCAGCCAGAAGGGUGCGUACAUAUCCUUAUCUAGUGUGUAGAGGAAGAACUGUUCACUUGAACUUUGACUUUGCCAACUUUGUCAUCAUGUCAGAGUUGAAGUAUGCACUCUCCUCAGCAAAGCGAAAGAAUACCUUUCUGAUCCAAUAGUCCAAUCUUUACUUACUUAGCCUAAUAUCAGGGAGCGUGUAACGCAAUUUCCAAUGGUGGCUCCAAAAGUUUGAUUUGAGUUUGUCGGAAAGUGACCCACAUUCUUUCAGCAACAGCGAGGAUGUCCAUGCAUGGAGAACAAUUCUGAAUAUUGUUAACCGCCUUGAGAGCUUUUGUCUGAAAAUUAAGAGAGGGCAUCACACACUCCAAUCAGGCCCAAAGAAAAAAGCGAGGGUGAAAAAACUAGGGGGAUUAAAUGCUAAACUCUCACACGUUCGCCGUUCGUACACAUAAUGACUUCUGCUGAGGAGAGAUGAGAUUAUUUCAACAUAAAGGAGAGGAGAGAGGAAAGGAGGGAGAGAGAGGGCGAGAAGGGAAGGAGAACUUCUUCAGAGGAGCCAGGAGGAGGAGAUAGGGCUGGGAAAGGUCUUGCGUUUAAGUGGAAUUAACAUGCUUUUCCAUUGGAGUCCAUUAGAUAAUCAUAUUAAUGCCACACAAGGCUCCAAACCCCCUCACUUUGAUUAUUCCCUUUUAAUCCACCCUGAUAAGGGGGUGCAGGCGUCGUCGUUUCAUUAUGUCGUCAUUUGGAAGCUGCAUGAGAUCCCCUCGGGACGUUAUCACAGGGAAAUUGCUUAAAUAGCCGAAGUGGAUAUAGUUUUGCGUUUAUUAUUUUUGACAGAUUCUAAAUAACUCUGCAAAUAUCCCUCUCUCCGACUAUAAGGGCGGGGGGGGGGGGGGGGGGGGCGA